AUAUCAUGUCCACUAUUACACUAUCAUACAGAAUUGUGUCUCACUGCCAUUAAAAUGUGCUGCACUUCACCUGCCCUUUCCCUGAAUUCCUGCCAACCACUGAUCUUUUUAAUGUCUCUGUGUUGUUAUUGGGGAGCCCUAGUGGCACAGUUGUUAAGUUCAGCUGCUAAACAAAAGGUUGGCAGUUCGAAUCCACCAGCCACUCUUUGAAACCCUACAGGGCAGUUCUACUCUGCUAUAGAGUUGCUAUGAGUCAGAAUAGACUCGAUGGCAACAGGUUUGGUUUGUGUUAUUGUUAGGUGCCCUCGAGUCAGUUCAAACUCAUAGUGACCCCUAUGGACAACAGAAUGAAACACUGUCCAGUCCUGUGCCAUCCUUACAAUCCUUGCUAUAUUUGAGCCCAUUAUUGCAGCCACUGUGUCCAUCUGUCUCCUUGAGGAUCUUCUCAUUUUCACUGACCCUCUACUUUACCAAACGUAAUGUCCUUCUCCAGGUACUGAUCUUUCCUGAUAACAUGUCCAAAAUACGUGAGAUGAAAUUUCACUGUCCUUGCUUCCAAGGAGCAUUCUGGCUGUACGUCUUUCAAUACAGAUUUGCUUGUUCUUCAGGCAGUUCAUGGUAUAUUUAAUAUGCUUUGCCAACAUCAUAAUUCAAAGGCAUCAAUUCUUCUUCACGCUUCCUUACUCAUUGUCCAGCUUUCACGUGCAUAUGAGGUGAUUGAAAAUACAAUCACUUGGGUCAGGUGCACCGUAGUCUUCGAGGUGACGUCUUUGCUUUUGAAUACUUUAAAGAGGUCUUUUGUAGCAGAUUUGCCCAAUUCAAUAUGUCAUUUGAUUUCUUGAUUUCUGCUUCCAUGGGUGUUGAUUGUGGAUCCAAGUAAAAUGAAAUCCUACCAACUUCAAUCUUUUCCCCGUUUAUCAUGAUAUUGCUUAUUGGUCUAGUUGUGAGGAUUUUUUGUUUUCUUUAUGUUGAGGUGUAAUCCAUACCGAAGGUUGUGCUCUUUGAUCUUCCUCAGUAAGUCCUUCAAGUCCUUUUUGCUUUCAGCAAGGAUGAUUGUGUCACCUGCAUAUCGCAGGUUGUUAAAUGAGUCUUUCUCCAAUCCUGAUGUUGCAUUCUUCUUCAUACAGUCUGGUUUCUUGGAAUAUCUGCUCAGCAUACAGAUUGAAUAAGUAUGUGAAAGGAUACAACCCUGAUGCACAUCUUUACUAAUUUUAAACCAUGCAGUAUUCAUUGUUCCAUUUGAAUAACUGCCUCUUGGUCUGUGUACAGUUUCUUCAAGAGCACAAUUAAGUGUUCUGGAAUUCUCAUUCUUUGCUAUGCUAGCCACAACAUAUAGUCCAGCUUCUCAAACUAUUUUCUCAGCAUUAAAAUUGAAUACUGUUAUUUUUAUAAAAAUAACAUGUGCCUUCUAUGUUUGUUUGUUUAUGGCGUACUCUUCCCACAAGGUAUAUUUGUAAGCAUGUUACACUAAUUUUCUUUUUACAGUAAUAUGUAAAAAAAAUUGACAUACUGGCAUUUAUGAAAAUACCUUCUGAGGGGAGGACACCACUGGCAAAAGUAACAUAGAAGGUGCAUGUUAUUUGCAUAAAAAUUUAGUUAGUAUGUUGAAAGAUACACCCCUGACACACACCUUUCCUGAUUUUAAACCAUGCAGUAGUACCCCCUUGUUCUGUUUGAAUGACUGUCUCUUGGUCUAUGUACAGGCUAUGCAUGAGCAAAAUUAAGUGUUCUGGAAUUCCCAUUCUUCACAAUGUUAUCCGUAAUUUGUUAUGAUCCACACAAUCGAAUUCCUUUGCAAAGUCAGUAAAACACAGGUAAACAUCUGUUAUUCUCUACUUUCAGUCAAGAUCUAUUUGACAUCAGCAGUGAUAUCUCUCAUUCCUUCUGGUAAAUCCAGCUUGAAUUUCUGGAAUUUCUCUGCCAAUGUACUGCUGCAACAGUUUUUGAAUUAUAUUCAGCAUAAUUUUACUUGCAUGUGAUAUUAAUGAUAAUGUUUGAUAAUUUCUGCAUUCUUUUGGAUCACCUUUCUGUGGAAUAAGCAUGUAUAUGGAUCUCUUCAGUCAGUUGGCCUGGUAGUUGUCUUCCAGAUUUCUUGGCAUAGUUGAGUGAGCACUUCCAUCAUUACACUGUUUGUUGAAACAUCUCAACUGGUAUUCCCUUAAUUCCUGGAGCCUUGUUUUUCGCCAAUGCCUUCAGUGCAGCUUGGACUUUUUCCUUUAGCACCAUCGGCUCUUGAACAUACUCUACCUCCUGAAAUGUUUGAUUGUCGAUCAGUUCUUUUUGGUACAGUGACUCUUUGCAUUCCUUCCAUCUUCUUUUGAUGUUUCCUGAGUCAUUCAAUAUUUUCCCCAUAAAAACUAAAAAACCAAACCUGUUGCAGUGAAGUAAAAUCCGACUCAUAGCCACCGUAUAGGACAGAGUAGAACUGCUCCUGAGGGUUUCCAUUGAGCGGCUGGUGGAUUCAAACUGCCGACCUUUUGGUUAGUAGCCAAACCCUUAACCACUGUGCCACCCCUUCAGUAUUGCAACUUGAGGCUUGAAUUUUUUCUUCAGUUCUUUCAUUUUCAGAAAUGCCAAGCAUGUUCUUCCCUUUUGGUUUUCUAACUCUAGGUCUUUGCAUUUUUCAUUUUGAUACUUUAGUUUGUUUUCUCGAGCUGCUCUUUUGAAAUUUUCUGUUCAGCUCUUUUAUGUGAUCAUUUCUUCCUUUUGCUUUAGAUACUCUUCAUUCAAGUGCAAGUUUCAGAUUCUCUUCUGACAUCCAUUUUGGUAUUUUCUUUCUUUCCUCUCUUUUAAAUGACCUUUUGGUUUCUUCAUGUAUGAUGUCCUUGAUUUCAUCCCACAACUCAUCUGGUCUUUGGUCAUUAGCAUUCAAUGCAUCAAAUCUGUCCUUGAAAUGGUCCGUAAAUUCGGGUGGUAUAUAGUCAAGGUCAUAUUUUGGUUCUGGUGGACUUGUUUUUAUUUUCUUCAGCUUCAGCUUGAACUUGCGUGCAAGCGAUUGAGGUCUCUUCUGCUGUCAGCCCCUGGCCUUGUUCUGAAUGUUUCUAUAGUUUUGCCUUUUCCAGAAUGUCAUGUAGUUGAAAUCAUACAGUAUGUAGUUUUUUUUAGACUGGCUUCUUUCUCUUAGCAAUAUGCAUUUAAGUUUUAUCCAUGUCUUUUUGUAGCUUGACAGGUCAGUCCUUUUUAUCAAUGAAUAAUGCUCCUUUAUAUUGAUAUACUAUAGUUUACUCAUCCUUUCAUCUAUUGAAGGUUAUCUCAGUUGCUUCCAAUUUUUGCCGUUAUGAAUAAAGCUGCAAUAAACACUCUUCUGCAGAUUUUUAUGGGGACAUAUAUUUUCAACGUAUUUGGGCAAAUACCUAGACGUGUGAUUGCUAAAUUACAUGGCAAGUCUGUGUUUAUCUUUACAACUGUCAAAUAAUCUUCCAAAGUGGCUGUACCAUUUGUAUUCCUAUCAAAAACAAAUGAGAUUUUUUGUUGCACCACACCUUUACUUAAAGCACAAUAAAAAUCAGAAAAAAAAAAAAAGAAUGGCUGACCAAGAUAAUUUUCCAUCAGUGGUCACAUAGGAAUUAACCAGGAAAAUGUACAUGAAGAAAAUGCAUUACUCACAUAUAGUUGCUCUGAGUUCUCUGGAUUAUAGUGCUGUUAAGGAAGUCUUUUUUUAGCUAUUGGUUUUCUCUUUUUGGAGAAGACGGUGUUAAUCUGUCAUGGUAAAUCUUCCACAGCUACUAGGUGUGAGAGUGUUUAAAUAUUGCCUGUUUUGACUGUUUGUUAUCUGUAGAGAAAGGCUGCUAAAAUUCCAGGUUUAAGCAGCUACGUAGAAAAGCUGCUCUCUGUGACAUUUAUGACUCUCCAUGUGGAUUCUUGACCUAAAUUUGCUAAACUAGUUGGCCAAGUUUUCUGACUCAUCCCCUUUCACAAGGCUGGUGUGACUCACCCCAACAAGCUGAAGGGAGGUCAGAAUGGGGAGAUAACUCACAGUGGUAGAUGGACAAGUUGAAGCCGCUGUGGCAAGAGUAUCAUUCUUUACAUACUAUGCUAGCAUGUUCAAGUAACGUGAAAGCCCAAUUAGAGCAGAGUUUUUAACUUGUUUUUACAAUUUUCCUGCAAAAUUCUUACCUGUAACUGUUGAAGCUUGGAUGUUAUAUGAAAAACAAUGCAAUGACACUUGUUUGAAGAAUUUUUCAAGGAUUGAUGUUCCUUAGAAGUGACAGUGGCAAGGCUUUGGCUUGCUUACUUCGAACGUGUCAUUCGGAGAGACUAAUCGCUAGACAUGGAUAUCAUGUUUGGUAAAGCAGAGUGCCAGUGAAAACAAGAGAAACCCUCCAUGAGAUGAAUAGACAUAACAGCGGCAACAUACUAAUGCUCAUGAAGAUGGUGCACGAUCAGCCAAUGUUUUGUUCUGUUAUACAUAAGGUUGCCAUGAAUCGGAUGCAGACUGGACAGCAACUAACAACAAGAGCACCACUCACUGUCACAACCUGGAGAGAAGAAGUAAAGCGAUAAAGAAGGAGGAGUUAGGAGAAAAGAAAUGGAUUCCAGGAACAGAAAGAAAGAAAAGAGGCACAAUUGCCGAAUCACUCCCUUCAACCACGGAAAUGAUUUUAAUUACCAAUUCAUCUGUUGGCAGGCUCUCCUGGCAGAUGUACCUGCAACUUGGAAAGAACAAAUGAACCAAUCCCUUACUCCAGAGCUGCCAGUGAGAGUGCUUCCUGAAUUUGCUCUCAGGAAAGAAUCCUGGGCAACAAUACAUCUGGCACUCUGCUCGAGGAAUUUGUCAUGUUGCUGACAUGUGCAGCCUCCAUUGUCCACACCACCCUGACAGCAGGUCCUUUAUAUUUCAAAGAAAUUGCAGUCUGAAUUAAUAUAAUUAGAAUGUAACUGCUCUUCACUGCAGAAACUCCUCAUUUCCAGGAGUACAGAUCUGAUAGCUCGUCUGUGCUCAAAAAUCUUCCCCAUGAUGGCUGUAGGGGAGCCAGCAGACAAUAAAAUGAUGGAGCAUAGACUAUUUCAUUGGCCUUUUUAAAUAUUAACUAAUAGAAAUAUAGGAGGAGAAGAAAGCUGCCCUAUCUCUGGCAUAUCUCAAUGAAAAUAUCUUUCAAGUUUACCGGCCUUUUAUAAAAUAUUUACUAUACGAUGUUUGAAGUGAGGAAAAGAAAUGAAAUAGGAAUGAUUAUGUAUCUUCCAAAAUUCAGUUACCUGAAGUAGAGUGGAUGAUUCAUAGAGAAAAUUACAGAAUUAAGAGGCGGUUGGAAAACAAUUCAUUCUAUACUAUCUCCUCUUUGAAGAGUUGAUAUCACUAACCAAGCGAUUGUCACCAAGUAAGCAGUAAAUUGGGUGCAGGAUUCUCCAAUUCCAUUUUCCAUUAUGUUCUUACAAGUAUUCGAUUUUUGAUAUGGUGGAAACUGACCUCAGUACCUUUUUUUUUUUUAAAUAAUAUUGAUUCACAUUCUCUCAAUUAAGUUGACAUUCUCAUCUUGAGUGACUCAUUUGAGAGGGUCAGUGAUCUGACAUGUGUAUGUAGGCUGAUGCUUACGGCCUCUUCUCUGAAAAAUAUCAAGUCUAUCAUUGUGCUUACGAGCACUUUGGGUUAACGAGCACUGAGAAGGGAUAAUGCUUUCCAUUUUCUUGUUUUUCAUAGAAGCACCUAUUGAUCCUCACCCGAAAUUCUGUGUCAGGAACUACAAUGAUAGAAAUAUGGAGAAUGAAUAAGGCCAUGCAAGAAUAGGGGUAGGGUCUUGUGAAUGAGAGAAGAUUCCAGGAGAUAAAUAUCAGUGACUCUUUUAAUUUUAAAUCAAAUACAUUUUAUAGACCAAAUAUAUCAUGUUAAAGAGCUGUAGCCUUCGGUUCCUCUUUACAAAUUUUGGCUAUACCCUUUCAGUCAGCAUUCUAGCAGAGUCUGGAAUGGUUUCCUGCUUCCAUGUAGACCUGCAGACUGCCUUCCUCUCCUCCCCCGGCCUGGAUAGAUUGACUACCAUUUUGUUUUAACUCAUCCAGUGGUUCUCAGAAUCAGAUGUGCUUCAGAAUUAUGCAUACGUCUGCAAGAGUGGGAGGGACUAGCUAGAAUGCAGUUGCCCAGGUCCUACCUCAAACCCACUGAAGGAGAAUUUUCAGCUGUGGUGUCCAAAUUAUAUAAGUUGAAAACCACCCCAAAUGCUUCCGAUGCACACCAAAUUGGCCAUCUGUAGACCAAUGUUCCAUUUCACUGAUAGAAAUACCCCGGCUGAUGACUUAGGCAAAAUCUUUCUAUAGAUGAUAUGUGUGAAUUUUAAAAUGAAGACAUUUAAUUUAUGUAAAUGAAAAUCCAUUUAAGAUGUUUUGAACCAGUGGUUUUUAGAGGGGCCUAUCAGAAAGUUUCUCAGGCUCCCCCCAAGUGUACAUAGUCCCCUUCACCUUUGCCCUAUUAUUGAUGCUUUGUGGCCCAGUUUGUUCUGUGUAGGUUAGAAAAAAAUGUCAGUAACUCACAGUUUCAGGCCAUUUACUUUGCAAACAAAUAUAAUAGUGAAAUAGGGAUUUAUAUUUUAAUGUAAAAAAAUUCUUGAAUAAACGAUUGCCCCUUCUCUCCAAUAUAUUUGACUUACUACUCUGAAUGUUUAAUUUAUAGGAUUGUGCAUUUUAAACAUAUGUUUAGACAAUCAAAUAUAUCCACAUAUAGAAAAUAUCAGGCUUGCAGGCAAGGCCCAUCCCUCAGACAUGGACACUU